GCUGCUGUAGCUCAGUGGUAGAGCACUUGCCUAGCAUGCACAAGGUUUUGGAUUCCAUUUCCAUCACCACCA
rnacentral:tRNA from 1 species